GACGAACGCUGGCGGCGUGCUUAACACAUGCAAGUCGAACGGAAAGGCCCUGCUUUUGUGGGGUGCUCGAGUGGCGAACGGGUGAGUAACACGUGAGUAACCUGCCCUUGACUUUGGGAUAACUUCAGGAAACUGGGGCUAAUACCGGAUAGGAGCUCCUGCUGCAUGGUGGGGGUUGGAAAGUUUCGGCGGUUGGGGAUGGACUCGCGGCUUAUCAGCUUGUUGGUGGGGUAGUGGCUUACCAAGGCUUUGACGGGUAGCCGGCCUGAGAGGGUGACCGGCCAGAUUGGGGGUGAGAUACGGCCCGGACUGCUGCGGGAGGCAGCAGUGGGGAAUAUUGCACAAUGGGCGGAAGCCUGAUGCAGCAACGCCGCGUGCGGGAUGACGGCCUUCGGGUUGUAAACCGCUUUCGCCUGUGACGAAGCGUGAGUGACGGUAAUGGGUAAAGAAGCACCGGCUAACUACGUG
rnacentral:rRNA from 1 species